CACGUAGGGUGCGAGCGUUGUCCGGAAUUAUUGGGCGUAAAGAGCUCGUAGGCGGUCUGUCGCGUCGGAUGUGAAAAUCCAGGGCUUAACCCUGGGCCUGCAUUCGAUACGGGCAGACUAGAGUUCGGUAGGGGAGACUGGAAUUCCUGGUGUAGCGGUGAAAUGCGCAGAUAUCAGGAGGAACACCGGUGGCGAAGGCGGAUCUCUAGGCCGACACUGACGCUGAGGCGCGAAAGCCAGGGGAGCGAACGGG
rnacentral:rRNA from 1 species